rnacentral:rRNA from 1 species
UACGUAGGGGGCUAGCGUUGUCCGGAUUCAUUGGGCGUAAAGCGCGCGCAGGCGGCCCGGUAAGUCGGAUGUGAAAUCCCACGGCUCAACCGUGGAACUGCAUUCGAUACUGUCGGGCUAGAGGCAGGUAGGGGAGAUCGGAAUUCCUGGUGUAGCGGUGAAAUGCGCAGAUAUCAGGAGGAACACCGGUGGCGAAGGCGGAUCUCUGGGCCUGUCCUGACGCUCAGGCGCGAAAGCUAGGGGAGCGAACAGG